AUGACGUCCUAGGCGUUUUAACAUGCGUAAUGGAAGAGCUUUUCAUCUAAUGGUACUAACAAUGACGUGCUGGUUGUUGUGUAUGAAUUUAACUCCACAAAAUUUAUUCAGCUUCAAUGUGUACCUAUUUUUGGUCUAAUUUCUUAUUUGAACAAGUGGCAUUGCCGUCUAGAUGAACUUGAACACAACACGUAAUUUAGUCAAUUAUUCAAAUGGGUAACACCAUAUAAAUACUCCAUCUAAUGUCGAUCGUGACCAGUAUUAUUUCUGAGACAGAAAUCGGUGUUACAACAAUUUGAAAAAUGAAAUAUUUUCUGAUAAUCGCUUGCGUCGCGCUGCUCUGCUUGGGAAGCGUUCUUGCUUCUGCUGAGCCAACAAUAGGACUUUUGUUUCCUGGACUAGCACAAGCACAGCUCACAGCAAUACAAACGCUGGCCACAGCCAAAGCAACGGCAGUUCAAAAUCUAUUUGGUGGGAUAGGCAAAUAAGAAAUUUGAAAUGUGAACCAACGGAACAAAUUGAUUAAUAAAUUCUCCAGUCCA